rnacentral:rRNA from 1 species
CCCUUAGAUGUUCUGGGCCGCACGCGCGCUACACUGAUGAAUUCAACGAGCUCCUAACCUAGGCCGAAGGGUCCGGGUAAUCUUUGAAAUUUCAUCGUGAUGGGGAUAGAUUAUUGCAAUUAUUAAUCUUCAACGAGGAAUUCCUAGUAAGCGCGAGUCAUCAGCUCGCGUUGAUUACGUCCCUGCCCUUUGUACACACCGCCCGUCGCUCCUACCGAUUGAAUGGUCCGGUGAAAUGUUCGGACCGUGACAAGGCGGACGGUUCGCUGUCAGCUUUGCUGCGGGAAGUUCAUUAAACCUUAUCAUUUAGAGGAAGGAGAAGUCGUAACA